CUCCUCCCCCGGUGACAGCGGGACCCGGGGCUGCCCCUCCCCUGGAUCCCCCCGGUGACAGCAGGACCCGGGGCCGCCCCUCUCGGGUGACACUGCAGGCCCCAUGCAGCCUGAGUAACUCCAGUCAUACAUCAUGUGCAGUACAGGGUGAUCGUACCUUGGAGGUGGGUAACAUCUGUUACACCUCAGUAACCUUUGGGAUGAAGAGCCAAAACUGUGGGUCAUCCAAACCCAGCGACUGCCACUUGCCGGUGGCAUUGCAGAGAAGAGAAACAGGAUGAGGAGAAACAAGAAAAACAUUUUAGGUCUAGGCAGGCUGGAAAAAAAUGACAGUUCCUGACCACCUGAAACCUAAUGGUGCCUCAAGUCAUAGGAAUCAGUAAAUAUUUUCCUGAU